GACAGAGGGUGCAAACGUUGCUCGGAAUCACUGGGCGUAAAGAGCGUGUAGGCGGUCCGGUAAGUCGGCUGUGAAAGUCCAGGGCUCAACCCUGGGAUGCCGGUCGAUACUGCCGGACUAGAGUUCGGAAGAGGCGAGUGGAAUUCCCGGUGUAGCGGUGAAAUGCGCAGAUAUCGGGAGGAACACCUGCGGCGAAGGCGGGUUGCUGGGCUGACACUGACGCUGAGGCGCGAAAGCUAGGGGAGCGAACGGG
rnacentral:rRNA from 1 species